rnacentral:rRNA from 1 species
UACGUAGGGGGCUAGCGUUGUCCGGAAUCAUUGGGCGUAAAGAGCGCGUAGGCGGCUAGAUAAGUCCGGUGUGAAAGUCACAGGCUCAACCUGUGAAUGCCGCUGGAAACUGUCUGGCUAGAGUCCGGAAGGGGCGAGUGGAAUUCCUGGUGUAGCGGUGAAAUGCGCAGAUAUCGGGAGGAACACCUAUGGCGAAGGCAGCUCGCUGGGACGUUACUGACGCUGAGACGCGAAAGCGUGGGGAGCAAACAGG